AGUCGCACGAGAAAGAGGGAAACUCGCAAGGGCAACCCUCCGGUACAGUGGCGUACGGGUGAGUAACACGUGGAUGAUCUACCUUCUAGUGGGGAAUACCCCCGGGAAACUGGGGACAAUACCGCAUAAGCCGGUUUUUUCAAUGAAGUCGGGAAAGCAGCAAUGCGCUGGAAGAGGAGUCCGCGGCUGAUUAGCUAGUUGGUGAGGUAACGGCUCACCAAGGCGAAGAUCGGUAGCCGGCCUGAGAGGGCACACGGCCACACUGGCACUGAAACACGGGCCAGACUCCUACGGGAGGCAGCAGUGGGGAAUCUUGCACAAUGGAGGAAACUCUGAUGCAGCGACGCCGCGUGAGCGAUGAAGCCCUUCGGGGUGUAAAGCUCUUUCGACGGGAACGAUAAUGACGGUACCCGAAGAAGAAGCUGCGGCUAACUACGUGCCAGCAGCCGCGGUAAUACGUAGGCAGCAAGCGUUGUUCGGAAUUACUGGGCGUAAAGAGUGUGUAGGCCGUGCUCUAAGUCUGGUGUGAAAUCUCCCGGCUCAACUGGGAGGGUGCGCCGGAAACUGGAGUGCUCGAGGAUGGGAGAGGAAAGCGGAAUUCCCGGUGUAGCGGUGAAAUGCGUAGAUAUCGGGAGGAACACCUGCGGUGUAGACAGCUUUCUGGACCAUUUCUGACGCUGAGACACGAAAGCGUGGGUAGCAAACAGGAUUAGAUACCCUGGUAGUCCACGCCCUAAACGAUGCAUACUUGGUGUGAGCCAUUCAUUUGGUUCGUGCCGGAGCUAACGCGUUAAGUAUGCCGCCUGGGGAGUACGGUC
rnacentral:rRNA from 1 species